CAAUACCGAGUGGGUGACGAAGGCCUUAGGGUUGUAAAGCCCUUUUCAGCAGGGAAGAUAAUGACGGUACCUGACCAAGAAAAGCCCCGGCUAACUCCGUGC
rnacentral:rRNA from 1 species